UACGGAGGGUGCAAGCGUUACUCGGAAUCACUGGGCGUAAAGCGCGCGCAGGCGGCUUUGUAAGUUGGAUGUGAAAUCCUAUGGCUCAACCAUAGAACUGCAUCCAAAACUACUUAGCUAGAGUCUGGGAGGGGAAGAUGGAAUUAGUGGUGUAGGGGUAAAAUCCGUAGAGAUCACUAGGAAUACCAAAAGCGAAGGCGAUCUUCUGGAACAGUACUGACGCUGAGGCGCGAAAGCGUGGGGAGCAAACAGGAUUAGAUACCCUGGUAGUCCACGCCCUAAACGAUGAAUGUUAGUCGUCGGGUAGCUAGUCUAUUCGGUGAUGCAGUUAACACAUUAAACAUUCCGCCUGGGGAGUACGGUCGCAAGAUUAAAACUCAAAGGAAUAGACGGGGACCCGCACAAGUGGUGGAGCAUGUGGUUUAAUUCGAAGAUACGCGAAGAACCUUACCUGGCCUUGACAUUGAUAGAAUCUGCUAGAGAUAGCGGAGUGCCUUUCGGGGAGCUUGAAAACAGGUGCUGCACGGCUGUCGUCAGCUCGUGUCGUGGGAUGUUGGGUUAAGUCCCGCAACGAGCGCAACCCUCGUUCCUAGUUACUAACGGUUCGGCCGAGGACUCUAAGAAGACUGCCUUCGCAAGGAGGAGGAAGGUGAGGACGACGUCAAGUCAUCAUGGCCCUUACGGCCAGGGCAACACACGUGCUACAAUGGGUAGGACAAUGAGACGCGAUACCGCGAGGUGGAGCAAAUCUAUAAACCUAUUCUCAGUUCGGAUUGUAGUCUGCAACUCGACUACAUGAAGCUGGAAUCACUAGUAAUCGUAGAUCAGCUAUGCUACGGUGAAUACGUUCCCGGGUCU
rnacentral:rRNA from 1 species